AAGAUUUCAGAGUAAUUUAAGGAAAGUUAUUAUGAAUUAAGCAGAAUUAAGUCAGAAAAACUAGAACAAUUUAUUUUGUAACAAUUGUUUUAAACUCAACAAUUGAAAGAAUUAAGAACUUUCAUCUGUACAAUAAACAACCAUGAUUCCAUAGGACCAAUGAUGAAAGAUACCACCAACCUCUUAGCAAAGAUUAUUAAUAUGUGAAAUUUAAUUUAAUAUGUGAAAAAUUAAGAAGUUAUUUGGUAGAGUGACUAAAGAACCAGUCUUAGAAUCAAGAAGAUAUAGUUCCAUGCUCUGUUUCUGAUACAAUCUGGUAUAUUACAUGAUAUGGCAAGAUAUAUACUUGUUGUGUGACUACUGACAUAUCAUUAAAGUACUUAAUUAAAGCUUUAUAAAGCUUUAGCAAGUAGAAGAUCUAACUGCAUGUGUAGAGGAAAUUUCCUUUCAAGAAUUUCCCUAUGCCAAUGAACUUAGACCAGAGUUAACUGAGAGCUGCGUGCUGAACAUUUAGGCAUCUUAGAGUGGCUACAAGCUAUUGUCCAGUUUGGUGAUUUUCAAGUUGAAUUAUUGAAAGAGGAAGAAGAACUAUUAGCCUCUGUUGCCUACCACCAAAAAGCUGAAAGUGGAUGACUAGAGGAGGAGAAAUCAUUGGCAAGUAGGCAGUGAUUUUCCAGGGACAAGGAACCAAAGAAAAAAUUAACCCUUGGUGACCAGAUU
rnacentral:lncRNA from 1 species